UACGGGGGGUGCGAGCGUUGUCCGGAAUCACUGGGCGUAAAGGGCGCGUAGGUGGCGUGAUAAGGGUGUGGUGAAAGCCCGGGGCUCAACCCCGGGUCUGCCAUGCCGACUGUCAGGCUAGAGUACUGUAGGGGCAGACGGAAUUCCGGGUGUAGCGGUGGAAUGCGUAGAGAUCCGGAGGAAGACCGGUGGCGAAGGCGGCUCACUGGCCAGUUUCUGACGCUGCAGCGCGAAAGCGUGGGGAUCAAACAGG
rnacentral:rRNA from 1 species